UGUGUUGAUAACUUCUUGCUAUAUGUAUUGACUUGCUUAAUGGUUACAUAAAUUACUUAUGGAAUAAUCGAGUUUUGACCUGAAAUUAAUUGGAUGUUUUUCUGAUGAUAAAUUCUCAGUUUGAAAGCUUAAGGUUGUUGACAAAAGGAGAUGCAUAUUAUGAAGAGCAAGUAGGAGCAAUGAUUGACCAAAUGCUUCAACAGGUCCAUGUGCUUUGAGAAGGACUCAAUCACAGGAUGUUGGGUACAAAGCUGCUUCAUAUAUAGAUUGUGCAGGAGGGGAAAAGAUACAGUUCAUGUCAUCUCAAUCAAGUCAAGCUGGGGUUCUUAGUUUAGUUUAUGUUUUCUCCUUUUUCUCCUCUACUGGGUAUAUUGAUUACAACAAGCUGGAGGAGAAGGCAAAUGAAAUUUGUGUGAAUAUUUGGGAAAUACUUCAUUUUCAUAUCAAUUUACUGAAUUCAUUUUAUAUAUGGUGGGAUUUGAAUUAAUUUUAUAUAAUUUGUAACAAUUAGACAACAUGCAAGAAUGAAUGAAAAGAAUUGUCCAGGA